AUCAGUGGCGAACGGGUGAGUAACACGUGAGUAACCUGCCCUUCACUCUGGGAUGACGUCGGGAAACCGGUGCUAAUACUGGAUAUGACCUGCUCGGGCAUCCGAUGUGGGUGGAAAGAUUUAUUGGUGGAGGAUGGACUCGCGGCCUAUCAGCUUGUUGGUGAGGUAAUGGCUCACCAAGGCGACGACGGGUAGCCGGCCUGAGAGGGCGAUCGGCCACACUGGGACUGAGACACGGCCCAGACUCCUACGGGAGGCGGCAGUGGGGAAUAUUGCACAAUGGGCGCAAGCCUGAUGCAGCGACGCCGCGUGAGGGAUGAAGGCCUUCGGGUUGUAAACCUCUUUCAGCAGGGAAGAAGCAGCCGGGUUUUCUUGGUUGUGACGGUACCUGCAGAAGAAGCACCGGCUAACUACGUGCCAGCAGCCGCGGUAAUACGUAGGGUGCAAGCGUUGUCCGGAAUUAUUGGGCGUAAAGAGCUUGUAGGUGG
rnacentral:rRNA from 1 species